AGAGAGCAGAAAUUCAAGCGUUAGAAAUUACAGAUAAUUUGAGAUCAGAGAUGUAUACAUCUUCUUCUUAAUAAUAAGUGUCGACUGGCUUCCUCUGAUUCCCAGGCCACAGGGUCAAAAAUAUUGCUCCCAACAAUUCCAAGCUUAUAUAUUAAUGUUCCAGCCACCCCAGCAACAGAAUGAGUCAACGCUGCAUUCCAAUUCCAACUCCACCAGUCCCCCAGAUCAGUAGACAAGGGUCCCAUUUUGGUUUUAUGUGAAGACAGAAGAAAUUUCAGAUUCAAUGCACCGUGGUCUGAAUUCCACGGAAACAGCUCGAUGAACUCCACCUGAGGUGUUUCUGCUUGUGAUCCUAAUUACAAAUGGAGAAGGAGCAGUUUAAACGCUUCACCCUGCAGGAUGUCAAUAAUAGCCUGUGUGCAAUUAUCUAAUUGUUCUUGCCCCAGCCUGUAGAGUAGAGAGCAGGAAGUAGUAAUCCCAGUCUUAGAUUGGAGGAUGUGGGGAGGCGACUUGCUUCAAUUCGUGAGGCUAAGUGAAAAAAUCAGCACUCUCUCCUAGAUUUUGGUGUUUUACCUCUUCCAAACUGCAGUUAUCUUUUUUUCCUUUCCUUUUUUAAGGGCUGGCCCCGUGGCCGAGUGGUUAAGUUCACGCGCUCCGCUGCAGGCGGCCCAGUGUUUCAUCAGUUCGAAUCCUGGGCGCGGACAUGGCACUGCUCAUCAGACCACGCUGAGGCAGCGUCCCACAUGCCACAACUAGAAGAACCCACAACGAAGAAUACACAACUAUGUACUGGGGGGCUUUGGGGAGAAAAAGGAAAAAAUAAAAUCUUUAAAAAAAAUAAAUAAAUAAAAAAUUAAUAUAGAAUUUUCCAUUUCAAAAUGUGUAGACAUAUUGGUAAUAUCUGGGUAGCUACUUGAUGAGAACAUGUUUUAAACGUAGGUGGGUGGUAGGCUGAGUAAUGGCCCUCCCAAAGACAUCCAGGUCCUAACACUAGAACCUGUGAAGCUAUUAUCUUA
rnacentral:lncRNA from 1 species